CGCACAUUGCGCCCCUUGGUAUUCCGAGGGGCAUGCCUGUUCGAGCGUCAUUACAACCCUCAAGCUUAGCUUGGUAUUGGACUUCGUCACUUAUCUGACGGGUCUUAAAAUCAGUGGCGGUGUCGUUGAGGCCCUGAGCGUAGUAAAUAUCCUCGCUAUAGGGACCCGGCGGUUACUGGCCAUUAACCCUCAAAUUUCUAAGUUUGACCUCGGAUCAGGUAGGGAUACCCGCUGAACUUAA
rnacentral:misc_RNA from 1 species